rnacentral:lncRNA from 1 species
AGAUCCAAGAUGUUGUUUGAGCCAUGCAACUAGAAGAUCUCAUAGAACUAAAGUUAUCUAAUUUACAGAAAAGGUUUUACGUGACGUCUAUUGUACAGAUUCAUAUGAAAACCAUAGUUCAAACUCCAAGGUUUAAGAAGUAAGAAAGAUCAUGCCAUUUGCAACAAACAUGCAUGCAUAUUUGAAAAGCAACUGUAAGUAUGCUAUUGGACAUUGGUAAAGAUUGAAUAUCUGACCAUGGCAUAUCAAGAAACCAUGGAAUGAGUACUGCUUAUCAAGAUCUGGGUGUGAGAAGACUUAAAAAGUCAGAUAGUCAGUGAGAACCAGCUAGAAUCCAUGAUCUGUUGUGGGAAAACUAGAAGACCAAAAAAAGCACGAAAGUCAAGAAAGAAGUCUCUUUUCACAUGAAAGUGGCUGUGCUAAUGGUCUAUCAAGAUAUCCUGAGUUUCCAGUAGAGAUGUUUCAGCCAUAACACAGGCCUGGUAGAAAAAGGGAAAAAGAAGGAAGGAAAAAAGAAAGAAAAAAUCAAUUAAUAGAAAAAAAAAAAAGACAGGAAAGAAGACAGACCUCUAUUUUGCAUGGAGAUCAUUAAAAAGCCCGUAUUAAAAGUUACUUUGUGGAGGCCUGAAGACAAAUACUGCUAUGAAUGGUUACAUCUAGGACUUCUGAAAUUAGCCCCAGAUUCAACUCAUUUUUUUCUGCAUUUGCUGAGCAAUAUGACAUGUUUACACCGAUUAGCUAAAAAGUUAUGUGAAGAAUGGGCAACAAUAUCUCUAAGUAACUAGGAGACCAUGUCCCUUGGCAUAAGUAUUGAUCUUCAAUAAUUUGUCCUUGAUAUUGAGAGAAGAGGAUCAAACUAUUUGAACCGGAUUGCUGUACUUCAACAUGUAAAGUGAAAAUGCAGACCCAGUUGACUAUAUUUCACUCAUUUGGGCCAAAGAAGCAGAAGUUUAUUAACAAAGAAGGAGAAUAACAAAAGAAAUAUAAGAUGGAAAGAAAAGCAAAAAGAAAGAAAACUAAAGAAAAAGCAAAAGAAAGAAUACUAAAUCUGAAAUACAUUUUCGUCCCCAAAUCAAGUUGGUGCAUAAAGUUCAAAUGUUUUCC